rnacentral:rRNA from 1 species
UGGGGAAUAUUGCACAAUGGGCGCAAGCCUGAUGCAGCCAUGCCGCGUGUAUGAAGAAGGCCUUCGGGUUGCAAAGUACUUUCAGCGGGGAGGAAGGGAGUAAAGUUAAUACCUUUGCUCAUUGACGUCACCCGCAGAAGAAGCACCGGCUAACUCCGUGCCAGCAGCCGCGGUAAUACGGAGGGUGCAAGCGUUAAUCGGAAUUACUGGGCGUAAAGCGCACGCAGGCGGUUUGUUAAGUCAGAUGUGAAAUCCUCGGGCUCAACCUGGGAACUGCAUCUGAUACUGGCAAGCUUGAGUCUCGUAGAGGGGGGUAGAAUUCCAGGUGUAGCGGUGAAAUGCGUAGAGAUCUGGAGGAAUACCGGUGGCGAAGGCGGCCCCCUGGACGAAGACUGACGCUCAGGUGCGAAAGCGUGGGGAGCAAACAGG